CUAAUAGAUAUUUGAUUUUCUUGAGGAAUUUAUUAACAGUUUAUGAAAACAUGGGUGACUUGUAUAUGAAUGCAUGGCAAUGGAUAUAUCUUAGUGAGAGGUGAUCUCUUCCCUACUUUUUUAGAAGAAUUUGCAUUGUUGUAUUCCUGCCUCGUUGACAAUUUUUUCAAAAAUCAAGUUUUUAUUCUCAUCUAUUAAAAGCAGACUUCCAUCAGUUUGUGUGAGUUUU
rnacentral:lncRNA from 1 species